rnacentral:rRNA from 1 species
CCUACGGGUGGCAGCAGUGAGGAAUAUUGGUCAAUGGACGAGAGUCUGAACCAGCCAAGUAGCGUGAAGGAUGACUGCCCUAUGGGUUGUAAACUUCUUUUAUAAAGGAAUAAAACGAGGCACGUGUGCCUUUUUGCAUGUACUUUAUGAAUAAGGAUCGGCUAACUCCGGGCCAGCAGCCGCGGUAAUACGGAGGAUCCGAGCGUUAUCCGGAUUUAUUGGGUUUAAAGGGAGCGUAGAUGGGUUGUUAAGUCAGUUGUGAAAGUUUGCGGCUCAACCGUAAAAUUGCAAUUGAUACUGGCAGUCGUGAGUACAGUUGAGGUAGGCGGAAUUCGUGGUGUAGCGGUGAAAUGCUUAGAUAUCACGAAGAACCCCGAUUGCGAAGGCAGCUUACUAAGCUGUGACUGACAUUGAUGCUCGAAAGUGUGGGUAUCAAACAGGAUUAGAUACCCCAGUAGUC